GCUCACUUCAGCUGUACAGAUUGUAAAACUGGGACAAUACAGAGACUAGCAUGGCCCCUAUGCAAGGAUAAUACACAAAUUUGUGAAGCAUUCCAUCCAGUA
ensembl:snRNA U6 U6 spliceosomal RNA